rnacentral:rRNA from 1 species
UAACUUCGCUGCACCCCAGCUAACGCGUUAAACAUCCCGCCUGGGGAGUACGGGCGCAAGCCUGAAACUCAAAGGAAUUGGCGGGGGCCCGCACAACCGGUGGAGCGUCUGGUUUAAUUCGAUGCUAACCGAAAAACCUUACCAGGGUUUGAAAUGGUAGGAAAGGCUGUCGAAAGAUAGCCGUGUUUCCCUUUUGGGAGAAAUCCUACCACAGGUGGUGCAUGGCCGUCGUCAGCUCGUGUUGUGAGAUGUUGGGUUAAGUCCCGCAACGAGCGCAACCCUUGUCCUUAUUUGCUUCCUCGUAUGAGGUGCUCUAUAAGGAGACUGCCGGCGACAAGCCGGAGGAAGGAGGGGACGACGUCAGGUCAGUAUGCCCUUUAUGCCCUGGGCUACACAGGCGCUACAGUGGCAAGGACNAUGAGUAGCGAGA